rnacentral:rRNA from 1 species
GACGAACGCUGGCGACAUGCCUAAUACAUGCAAGUCGAACGAACCAUCCUGAAGAUUGAAGCUUGCUUCAUGAUUCAGACCUUGGUGAGUGGCGGACGGGUGAGUAACACGUGGGUAACCUGCCCAAAAGUGGGGGAUAACAUCUGGAAACAGGUGCUAAUACCGCAUAACAACUACUUUCUCAUGAUCGUAGCUUGAAAGAUGGCUCUGCUAUCGCUUUUGGAUGGACCCGCGGCGUAUUAGCUAGUUGGUGAGGCAAUAGCUCACCAAGGCAAUGAUACGUAGCCGACCUGAGAGGGUAAUCGGCCACAUUGGGACUGAGACACGGCCCAAACUCCUACGGGAGGCAGCAGUAGGGAAUCUUCCACAAUGGGCGAAAGCCUGAUGGAGCAAUGCCGCGUGAGUGGAGAAGGUUUUCGGAUCGUAAAACUCUGUUGUUGAAGAAGAACAUGCGUGAGAGUAACUGUUCACGUACUGACGGUAUUCAACCAGAAAGCCACGGCUAACUACGUGCCAGCAGCCGCGGUAACACGUAGGUGGCAAGCGUUGUCCGGAUUUAUUGGGCGUAAAGAGAAUGUAGGCGGUUUAUUAAGUUUGAAGUGAAAGCCCUCGGCUCAACCGAGGAAGUGCUUCGAAAACUGGUAAACUUGAGUGCAGAAGAGGAAAGUGGAACUCCAUGUGUAGCGGUGGAAUGCGUAGAUAUAUGGAAGAACACCAGUGGCGAAGGCGGCUUUCUGGUCUGUAACUGACGCUGAGAUUCGAAAGCAUGGGUAGCAAACAGGAUUAGAUACCCUGAUAGUCCAUGCCGUAAACGAUGAGUGCUAAGUGUUGGAGGGUUUCCGCCCUUCGGUGCUGCAGCUAACGCAUUAAGCACUCCGCCUGGGGAGUACGAUCGCAAGAUUGAAACUCAAAGGAAUUGACGGGGGCCCGCACAAGCGGUGGAGCAUGUGGUUUAAUUCGAAGCAACGCGAAGAACCUUACCAGGUCUUGACUUACCAUGAAAAGCUAAGAGAUUAGUCUUUCCCUUCGGGGACAUGGAUACAGGUGGUGCAUGGUUGUCGUCAGCUCGUGUCGUGAGAUGUUGGGUUAAGUCCCGCAACGAGCGCAACCCUUAUUAUCAGUUGCCAGCAUUCAGUUGGGCACUCUGGUGAGACUGCCGGUGACAAACCGGAGGAAGGUGGGGACGACGUCAAAUCAUCAUGCCCCUUAUGACCUGGGCUACACACGUGCUACAAUGGUCGGUACAACGUGCUGCGAACUCGCGAGGGUAAGCAAAUCACUUAAAACCGAUCUCAGUUCGGAUUGUAGGCUGCAACUCGCCUACAUGAAGCUGGAAUCGCUAGUAAUCGCGGAUCAGCAUGCCGCGGUGAAUACGUUCCCGGGCCUUGUACACACCGCCCGUCACACCAUGAGAGUUUGUAACACCCAAAGUCGGUGGGGUAACCCUUCGGGGAACUAGCCGCCUAAGGUGGGACAAAUGAUUAGGGUG